rnacentral:lncRNA from 1 species
ACAUUUAUUAGGGUUUGUUGCACACAAAGUAUACAUAUACACUUAGUUUGGUAUUAAGAUCCAUCUGACGUACAUUAUUAGAUGAAAUUUGAGAUAAAAAUAUAUAAAGAUAUACUUUUGUGUUCUCCGGUGGAAUCGCAGAAAAUAUAUUAAUUAGGUUAUAGGGACACAUGUUUGGGACACUUUUAAGUAAGUGUCCCAUUUAUACUAAAACUUAAAAAAAUAUCUACUAAUGCUUAAAUAUAAAGCACAAUCCAACCAAAAAUAAAAUAUUAUUCUACUCAACCCACUACACCCAGUCCAUUUAGCCCGAUUACAAACAGAAAAGAAAAAAAAAAAGAAAAAUCAAUUACCAUAUUUUCUUCUCUCUUCACUCAAUUCACUAAAAUUCUAGACAAAGAGUUUUUUCUGUCGUCCUCCUCCGCCACCGCAGCCAACAAGAUAGAGUUUCGGCAGUUGCUAAAUGCUUAAAUAAGUAUUGGUAAAUUAGCAGCACUCUUUUAGGUUAUAACGACACUCUUUAACUGUCACUAUAUACCUAGCGACCCCACAUAUAGCAACACUUUUUAAAAGUGUCGGUAAUUUUAGCUAGCAGCACUUUUUUGACAUGUACCUACAUUUAAAAGUGUCGCUAUAGACCGUUUUUGUUGUAGUGAUUAUUACGGACACAUCGCGAUAUACAGAACGCAAAAUUACAUACGAAAAUAAAUAGAACACUUUUUUAUCGUAUUUUUUCACCAUACGUAAUCUCAAAUGAAGCCAAAGUGUGAUGCAUGUAUGUAUAUAGCAUACAUAGCACGCAUGUAUAGAGUUCGAUUACUAUACUAUUGAUAGUACCAAGCCUUUGAUACUAUUGAGUUUUCUACCGUUAGAUUUAUCCUUUGAUCAUUUCCACCCGUUAGAUUAUACUAUUAAUUAAACCAACCAUCCACUCAACCCUAGGGGAUCAUUAUUAAUUUAACCGGCGAUCACUAUCAUCCUAACCGCACAUCCUUUCAACCAACAGCCGAAAACUCAAUAGUACCAAGGGUUUGGUACUAUAGUAUAGUAACCUAAUUCUGCAUAUAUAUA